ensembl:lncRNA
UUAAAAAAGCUGAAAUUUGUUAUUAUUAUUAUUAUUAUUAUUAUUAUUAUUAUUAUUAUUAUUAUUAUAAUUAUAAUAUUUUAUUUUACAUUUAAUUUUAUAAAAUAUCUUCUUACUCCACAUUCCUUAUUAUCUUUUUAUUUAUUUCAAGGACUGUAUUAUUAUUAUUUAUUUAUUAUUUUUUAUUACACUUUUUUUUUUUUUAAUGAAAUAACUCCUUAUUCCUUAUCUCCUUUAUUUAGCUUUUACCUAACACAGACUCAUGAGACAUCGUCUUCUCUGUUUCUCCAGGGUAGAAAAGGUGAUGCAGGAUUGCCGGGAGUUGAUGGUCUUCCAGGACCACCUGGUCCUCAGGGGCCUUCUGGGCCUCCUGGGAGCCCUGGACAAACAGGACCUCCAGGAUUACCUGGUGAAAUCGGCUUCUCAGGAAAACCAGGAGAAGCAGGAAAACCGGUGAGUCCCUCUGACUCAAAAAUACUGUCCACACACUUUAAUGACCUGUUGCCCUAUUAACUCAACACUCAUUUUUAGUGCAAAAAAACUUGAAACAAUGAUUUUAACGGUAAUUAUUUUUCAGGGCCUGCCAGGAAAAGAUGGAUUAGAUGGUUUCCCUGGAAACGACGGCGAGAAGGUUAGAGCUGUUUUAAUGAGGCAAAAUGUGAACUCAGUUCUGUGGAGGCAGAACUUCACCAUUUAUAAACCCAUAUAAAGGCCAGAUCUGCUUUUUGACCUUUUCAUUUGUGUUUUUGCUGCACUGCAGUCUGUUUUUAAUUAUUUUGUAUUUCCGUUUAGGGGCAAAGAGGAGAACCCGGACAGGACGGCUUCCCUGGUAAACCAGGACCUAAGGUAAAGAGAGACUAGUGCUUUAAGGUCUGGGUUGGAAAUCUACCUCAUCACCAAUGCCAGUUUCUCUCUCUCAGGGAGAUGAAGGCCCUCCAGGACCACGAGGACCUCCUGGUGAACGGGUGCGGGAAGUAAAACUUAAAACAACCUUGACAGAGCCUUGAUAGAAGGACACAUGACACAACUGUCUUUCUCUUUGUGUCUUGUUCUGUCUCAGGGAGUGUCUGGUUUGCCUGGAGAGGUCGGCACAAUAGGACCCAAAGGAGAGAGAGGAGGCCAAGUAAGACAGAACUAUAUGGACAUAAUUAUAUGCUGUUUUCAAGUCAAAAUCAGACGUUUUAUUGAUUAACGCAAUCAAUAGACAUUGAUUUGUGAAAAUAUCAGUCUCUUCAGUAGAAAAAAAACACUCCUACUGUGAGAACCAUCAUCUAUUCACUUGGGUGCUUCUCAAAAACAUGUUCAGCCAACAUUUCACUGCAAAGAUUGUGAGAAAAAUACAAGAAAUCAUGUUCUGCAUGAGACAUUUUCAAUCUUAUUAAUGUCAAUUUAUGCAUAAUUGGUAUGUAGUUUUGUUUGAGACUUUUUUUGUCAGAUUUCAUCCCUCCAUCUCUCGUAGGGAGAAAGAGGAAAAGAUGGAUUUGCUGGCUCGAAAGGAGAGAAAGGAGACAAG